CGCCCACUCCCACCCGCCUCGACCCUCCGCCGCACGCCGCAGCUCCGCCAACUGCACGCCACAAAAACCAAAGCUCCGGUAAGCAUUCAUCCCCACACGACCAUGAGCCUUGCCUUGUUGCUUACCCGGCCGUCGCGCAGUUCGAAGACCACCGCGUCCUUGGAGAACGGCACCGGCCGCACAGCCGCCACCUGUUCGUCGAAUUGCGUAGGCGUCAUCAGCGACCCCGUUACCAACAAAUAUAACAAGCGAAGAGGACCAGAAUGACACCGCCGCAGUCAGCUGCAGGGUGCCGAGGUGUUGGUUUGCGGGGCUGACCUUUUCGUCGCAGCUCCCCCUGAAGCUGCUCGCGUAGUGCGCGUCCGCGGCGCCCAGCGUGGCGCAGCUCUGCUCGCCGCCGCCGGCGACGUCCGUCGUCGUGCUGGAUGGUUCCGACGGGUGCCCGUGGCUCGUCCACCUCCACGUUCGCUCGUCCAGGUGCCGCAGGUAGACGUGUCCGUCGGACCCGAUGACGAACAACUGGGUGCCGUCGAAGCACGGCCCUGGGGCGACCACGAGGGUGACGUCCCGGUGGGGCGUCCCGUGCUCUACCCACUCCCACCCGUCCUGCGGGCUGAAAUGGUACUCCACGAGGCCCCCAUGCUCGGAAAUCAUGAAGAUGGAGCCGGUGAGGGAGAGAGGGGACGGCCUCAUCGCUGUCCCAGGGGAUCUUGACAGGACGAGGUGAGGUGAUUGGUAGUGCCUGUGCCAUAGCUCUGUAAUUCUGUUAUACUGGUACAUCCGACCGUUCCGGCCGACCACGAAGAUGAUAUUUCUUCUAAACACCUCCUGAUCCACGAUGAAUGCAACCUUGGUAUCCGGAGGGCUGUGGCAGUCCUUCCACUUGAAUUUACGCAAUGCCACCUAAAAAGGUUUAAAACAACUUUUAUUUUUACAAGACAAAGCAAGCAGCUUAAGGACAAAACAUUAUGUAAUUUGGGAUUUACUAUUUUUCCAGGUGAAUAUAUACUCUAAAACUAUAUUGAGAGCAGAGCACAUUUGAAUGAUGGUGUUGUUUGAGAAAAAAAUGAUAAUCAUUAGCCUCCUCCUUUAGUGUGAAGGAGGGAAGAACAGAAGGGUGGUUGGUUCUCGAUUAUCAUGACUAUUUGUCCUAAAUUUGUUAGAAGCUCAUGUUUUUAACAUGAUUGCACCUGUAGUUAAUCCGGUCAUGAUUCUUAACACUUUUGAGAUAUCGCUGAUUUGUAUUAAAACUAUUACAUUGGCCAUAUCUACCAAGUAAUUGCGGAAAGAUCAAUCUUCUAUGAACUACCUAUCCUCUGGAAUAUUAAAGGAUAUGAAGAAAGAGUGAUUUGUUCCAUUUCUUCUGAUGCUGAAUUUUGUGUGCAUGUGUUCCAGUUCUCUAGCUAUACUCCUAUCAGUGAAUUCUUAGCUACUUCUGUACUCUAUGGGUUAAUGCAUGCUUCGUAUACAUGGAAUUAUCUUGAGUAGAAGAUUCAUAAUUUCUCUUAUGGAAAACAGAAAAACUAUUGCUCAUUAGUCAUUACCAUGCAGCGUCUUUUCUUUUUCCGAGGAGAUACGUGGGACUUUGGGCAGGAGAUAAAAAAGAACGGCUUUUGCUCAUAAAGGUGCAUGCAUUUAAUCUUGGAUAAUGCAAUAUCUUGUAUGAAAGUGCACAUUUUAUCUUUUGUAUAAUAAGACAACCCCGGAAGCCCGGUGCACGUAGCUCCCGCUUGCGCAGGGUCCGGGGAAGGGUCCGACCAUUUUGGGUCUUUUGUACGCAGCCUUUCCCUAUAUUUCUGUAAGAGGCUGUUUCCAAGACUUGAACCCAUGAUCUCAUGGUCACAAGGCUCCCCUUCCAUAAUAAGAAACAUUUAGUGAAAUUAAAACAUGUUUGGACUUCUACCGUGAAUUGUAGCAAUCUGCCUCUCUUGUUAACAAAGAAAAGUGCAUCAUCUGUUGUCACUCUGCGUGAUAACCCAGGGAUGCCAUCCCAUGGAGGCCCACUUGCAACCUGUCUUCCCUUCCUCAUUGCUGUGCAAUUAAUCCAUAAGAGUUCGUCACCAUUUCUUUCUCUAAUAUGUAAGUUCCCAUGAAGAUCAACAAGAUACAAGCUGCCAUUAUAGCUUCCUAGUGUACCCUUCAUGCCUGUAAUGUGUUCAUGUCUUAGCCAUAGCCAAACACCAUUGCUGUUUAGAUAUUCCAAAGUUAAUCCGUUAUCUGUUAUGAGGAAAAGUGAUCUAUCUGCAUGCAUCACCCGCAUAUGGAAGUUAAGAUAAAUGCUUCGUGAUAGAAUGUUGUAUGAUUCAGUUUCAUCACUCUCAUGACUAUGACCAUGAAGGUAGUGUUGCUUCUCUUCUGCUUUACGCCUUCUAGGUGGGGCAUUGCUCAGGUUGGUUGGUUCCGUAUCUGCAGCUACAUUCAUCGCUCCAGUAAUACAGUUUGUAGGGCCAUGCUCUUCAGUGCAAUAUUCUGCAUUCCAACCUUCUGUUUCUGGUGUAUCUAGGAUAGACCACUCAUACUUGUUUGGCAGUUUCCUUCUUAUGCUAUUUUGUUGACUUGGACCAAAAUGAUCACCUCCCAUGCCAGGUAAAUGUAGCUCUCCAAGCCUACCAUCAUCUAGCUGGAAUAUCAAUCUGCCAACUUGAAUCUGUAGACCUCGAACACUUGCUGCUACUUUUGCAUGGUCAGGAGACAUGUGAUUUACCCAUAGUCCUCUAAUCUUAUUGCUUGAAGCCCCACCUUGUCCAAUGGAGAAGAUAAACAAUGUCAACUUAGUUUCUUCUUGGAACUUAAGAAUUGCUGUAGUAAGAAUUGAAUCGAUUGGUAUUUUGUUCAGAAAAAGAUUACAUGCAAUGAUAUGGUCCUAGGCGAGAAGUUGAGAGUAUGUCAUGUUUAUUGCUGACAAAAGAAUAGUAUACAACAUCAUAUCAUGACCUGAGUGUGGCAUAUGGGCUUAAAGAAGAGUUUAUUGCUGCUGAUUCACUUUACUUGAAGGACAUCCUAUCUUGAACUAGCAUAUUCAUAACUAUGGUUCAUUUUUAUCUUUCAACUCCAAGAACAAUUCAAUAUAAUUACGUAAAUUGUUCUGCUAUGUGAAGUUCCUUCAAAUUCAUCUUUGAUGACCUCAGUCACAAAAGAAUAAAGAUGUCCAAAGACUAAGGAAGGAGUUUCCACCUGUAUAUUUUGUAAACUGAUACUCAAAUACUUUUCCUGUGGUUGUUGUAAAAAACAUUGAAGUCGCAUCAUUAGAUUCAUCCUGUUGAACUUCUGUAAUUGAACUUAGUCUUUGACCCUUAGGUGCUCCAUGUUUAUCCCACUUCCACUUUCUUCUAUGCAAGCGCCGCUCCACUAAAAGACCAUCCUGCCAAUCUAUAAACACCUUUAACAACUGAAUAUAUCACAAAAUAAAUGUUAUUUUAAUGGAUCAGAUUCCCUAGGGUCAUAGACAUGACAUAAUCAUACUACAGUAGCUAGCAAACUUUUUUUGUAGUUCUUUUUCUUUUGAAUUAAAGUUGUUAGUUUCUGUUAAACUGUGUGGAUGAUACUUGUUGCACUGUUAUGGUUAACUUGGAACCAUCAUAGUUAUCAGGAACACACAAUAUAUUAUUCCCAAAUCAUAAAAAGCGAGUUCACCUUUGAAAUACAUAAUAUGCAAAUGGGUAGUGUUGCCUUGUUAGCUUUGAUCCAGCCAUAAAUUGCUUAUGAUAAUACAGAUUCUUACAUACCUUGGUUAUCAGAAAGAGUGAUACUGAAUUAGAGCCUAAGAGACCAUGCAAAGCACACCCAACAGAUGAGCUCAGCGAGACAUUUUUGGUUGUUUGUUCACUCCAUAUAUGCUUUUUCCAUGAUGGCUUCGUUUCCUUAUCAAAUUCAUAUAGGUCUCCAGUAGAACUGCACUGCAUUAUCCCAUGUUAGCAUUGGUAUGCAUCAACAGUAUAUCAAAUCUUGAACUAACAGCAUAAAUGAGUAUAGCGUUGUCUUGUACGAGAAAGUUGAUAUAUUUAUUGUUUAACUUGUCCUCCUAGUUAUGUUUAAUGGAACGACUGAGAUAUGGGUAGAAACUAUGUUACGGGAAGUUGGAGGAAUACAUUUGAUAUUCCUUGAACCCUUUUGUUUCAGUCAUUGACCAGUAUAGGAGCAAAUUGAGACUUCACCGAACAAAUCUUUUCCUUCUAGGGUAGGUUGAAAAGGUACCCCCAACCCCCACCCACCCCCUCAUAUCCUCAAAUGCACAUGCUAAACAUACCUUACUGUGAACACGGUCCCUGGUCUUGCAUUUUCAGCAUCAGAUAUAUAUGAUACAUCUGCUCCUGGGGGACGCCCAUGGCAAUUCCACCUAUGCAUCAGUAGCAUUCAACCAUUAUUUUAUUUGAAGCCAUGGUAGUAGUGAUAAAAGAAGUUGCAAAUAGUGUGAUUUCUAUAAAUAGGUUAUAGGAAAUUCUGCAAAUUAUUUUUGUUCAUUCAGUUAACCAAACCUUCUGCCAAAACUUCAAAAACACUGUUGGCAUUUUCUAGUCAGGAAAAGAAUAUCUUAAAAUCACCAGCCCUUUAUUCUACCAUGCCAUCGUGUUUUAAGUAAUUAUGGAUCUCUUAAAGUAUGUAAUAUAGCUAAUAUUUCUUUUGAACACCUUUUCCAUGAAUAUAGUAUUUCAGGAUACAUAACUAAUGAUGGAACACACAUCAUUGGCCCCAUAUACGCAUUUAACCUUGUAUUAGAAUUUUAAAGUUCAAAGCAGAGAAGCAAAUAGAAGAGGUUGCAACCUACUUGACAGUAGGCCUUUAUAUCUGUGACUCUACUCGACCCCCUGAGUUAUUUUUACUAUUAUAAUGUGGGUCCAGCACAAAAAUAACUUAUAAUAUUCGCCUUUUCUACUGAUUUUUGUGUGUAAAUACCACUUACUGGAAUGAGGAUCAAAAUAUCUAUACUAAGAUCAAAUAUGAUGUCUUCGCCAGAUUUAUCUACAUAUUAAAUUAUAUUUUAAGUCAGCCACAACAAAUAGUCAUAUGUCAAAGCUUUUGGUGGGUUUCUUUUCUGUGGUUUAUGUUUGAAUUUUGAGCAAGAUAUUACAAGCAUGCAAGAGGAUGAAGUUGAGUUGCUGACUCAUACCUUAGAGGCUGAAGUUCUGUGACCUCAAUUAGGGACCCAUUCGUGAUAGAAAGGAAAAGUUUCCUGAUUGAGAAAGAAUAAGUUCUUUCAACCACUGUUUGUUGGUAAUUCCAAAUUGACUAGAUACCCGCAUUUUAUGCGCAGAUGAACCUUACAAGGAAGCAUUAGGGUAGAAAUUCACCUUCCAUUAUGUGAUACGACCCCAUUUUUUAUGUGUGUAGCUUGACUUUGUGUCUUCUCUCCAAGGUUUGUGAAAUGUUGUUCAUAGCUGAAUGUCAUCUCAGUCCAGAUAGGCUGGGCAUGUUCAUUUAGCUGUAGCUGAAAAGAUGUAGAGUAGAACUAUUAGAGUGAAAGCAUAAUAGCAACUUCUUCUUUUCUUGAAUGGGCAGUAUUGGAAGAAAACGCCGAGAUGGCAGGAGUCUUACAAGAGGGAAAAACCGAAAACUGAAAAGCUAACAGUGACUAAUCUGUUUGCAACUGAAUUCAUGCAGAAGUCUAUUUCACUUGACGAUAUAGGAUUUAUGCUUUGCUGGAUAGGAUAGAUAAGUUCAUUCUGAAUCGUAUCACAUCUUCAUGUUAUAUAUCAGAUACUUCAGAUAUGCAAAUAGAAUGUCCUGAAGUCUUUUUAGAAGGAGAAAAAACAGGACAAUCUAAUCAUAAUUCCAUUGGUGGCUUACUAAUGGAUACAUAUUACACAAAUUCUGGACAUUAUUUUAGCCUUACCUAGCAGGAAUUAAUUUCCUUCAUUGCUCCAGUAAUAACAUUGGGUAUGCAACUAGUGUUCCUCUGUUACAUACAUUUCUGUUUGACUUCUCCUGUAUAUUUUCCUUCACUCUCCAUGACUAUCUCCGCUGUCUUUUCUCAACAUCGUAAGUUCUGGUUGUACUAAAGUCACCACAUACUAGUUUUGUUUCGAAUGACACAAUCUGUACAAGUAAUGGAAGUAAACCAGAUUUAUUUUUGUUGGAAAAACGGAAAUUGCUAAUUGAGCUCGAGCUCCAUGGAGCCCUUAAUUUGAAAAAAAUUCCAAAAUCAAAUUUUUAGGUUUAAAAAUUUCUGAAAAAAAUACACAUAUAUAUGUGGAUAUGUACUACUUGUCUACAAAGUUUCAUGGCGAAUACUUUUCUGUCUCGGGCAUAAAGUAUCACCUACUAUUCCUCAAAAGAAAAAAGUAUAAGCUACUGUUAUAAAGAUCUCAAACAGUUCAAGAAUGAUGCAAGGGUGAUCUUUGCGAGAGACAGUAAGCUCGGUGAUAUGGGCUACUGUAGAAGAUUAUAACCCUAAGUCUGAAUAAGCUAGAAGAACUACUGACUGUUAGUAGAUGAUAUGCUUACCUGGUAGAGGAUUCCAGCCUCGGACAGAGCAAGGAUGGUUGUGUUGACGAUGAAAGUUGCUGUUGCAUACCCAGCCGCUGUUGGAAGCUCAUGAGGAGCAAUCACCCACAUGACCCCGUUCCAGAACCUCUCAUAGAUUGAUCCACUUUGGCCUGUCACCCACACGGACGACUCUGACAUCCUUGCCAAGGAGAUUCUUUUCCUUAUGGUCAGGACGGGAUCAGUAUCCUUCUCUUGACUCGAGACGGAAGCACGGCCAUGUUUGCUUUCUGGUUGCUUGAUCGAGCCUACCUUUGUGCAGGUGCCGUUGAUGCAGGACAUGAGAUUGAAAGGCAUGCUUAUUUCCACCCAGGUAUUGCUCUGCUCCUGGUACUCCCAGAACUUAUCUGUCUUCUGCUUAAACUCCACUUCUCCCUUCGGGUUCGGAUGUGGGGUGCACCAUGAAUGGGCAGACAAAGCAGACUCCAUAACGAGAAGACAUGCUACAAAACACAAAAAACACGAGAGAAAUCUGCAAGCUGGACCAGCCAUGGCCAUGCUGUAGAUCUUAUCCUUGGUGCCGAUGCAUGCCAGCGCCAGAGCCUGUCCUCUAUAGCUGCGCCUGUGCGAUCCUCGGAGAAGACGAAGUCUGGAGGCUAGGCAUCAUGAGCCUUUUAUCUAAGCAUAAGCAAGAGGAGGUAUCAUGAGCUUCUCCGGGGAGGACCCCUCUGUACUUGUGUGUGCUGCAGUUGGAAGCACAUAAGGUAUGCAGUGCAGAUAAAUAAAUAUUUCAGGGGAGAGGGGGGGAGGAGGUAUUACUGUUGGUAUCUCGGUGUGAGCUAUCAACUGCCAUUCGAUGAAGGCCAUAAAGCCAUUAGCAUAGCGCCUUGGUGGUUUGCUUUCCUUUUCAAUAAUGCCUUUCCGUCUGUAACUUUCUCACCCGUCCUUGUUAAUACCUCGAUAAACUAUAAUAUCUGUAUAGCAGAUGGUUGUUGCACCCUCACACCUCCCACACAUUUUUCAGCACUUCUCGGCGUAGUGCUGGCCCUUUAUGAAUAACCUUUUAUGUCUAUAAUGUAGGGGAGGAAAAAGAAGGGCGAGGGAAUCUUGAAUAUUUCUAUUGGACAAGUUUUGUGGAAUCUGAUGUUUUCCUAUUCAAUUGGGUGGAAUAAAGCUAGUACGCCUGUGCUGAAAUCGUCCUUGUCCCCUGCUGCCUCUGAAGUCGAUGGUUGCUUAGGAGUUCAGAUGUCCAUCUGCAACUUGCCGACGCUAACCACCACCGGUGACUGCAGGGUCUUGAGAAAGGUGAAAGCAGCUCCACAUUGCUGAUAUCAUACUGCAGAAUUUUUCUUCGCCCUGCUUGUCAUCACUUGCUGAAUGGAAUAUUGGGGCCUGACUGAUUGAUCACCCUGAGAAGGUCUCGCUAAGAUUUUCGUCGCAAAAGAAGAGAAAAAAAGAAGUCGGCUAAACUUCUUAGGUCUGUAGGAGGGUAAGUGCAACGUGUGUUCUGCGUCACUCUUGACUUACUGUAUAAAUUACUCGUUCUGUUCUUUCCAUUAUUGGUGGAAAGGAAAUUCUUAAUUCACUCGCAGUAAUCAGUAGCUAAGUCAAACAUCUUGCCACCUUGUAUUUUGCCUAGUAAUUUGUGCAGUCACGCAAGUGAUCUCCUCUAAACUAAUCUGGAGUAUAAUAUUAUUUGUUUGAAAGAUCCAGCAAUCGCUGGCUUCGAUUCCGUAUCAAGCAUGGAGCAGACAAAACAAG
rnacentral:lncRNA from 1 species